GACGAACGCUGGCGGCGUGCUUAACACAUGCAAGUCGAGCGGUAAGGCCCUUUCGGGGGUACACGAGCGGCGAACGGGUGAGUAACACGUGGGUGACCUGCCCUCAGCUCUGGGAUAAGCCUGGGAAACUGGGUCUAAUACCGGAUAUGACUCCAUGACGCAUGUUGUGGGGUGGAAAGCCUUGUGCGGCUGAGGAUGGGCCCGCGGCCUAUCAGCUUGUUGGGUGGGGUGANGGCCUACCAAGGCGACGACGGGUAGCCGGCCUGAGAGGGCGACCGGCCACACUGGGACUGAGACACGGGCCCAGACUCCUACGGGAGGCAGCAGUGGGGAAUCUUGCGCAAUGGGCGAAAGCCUGACGCAGCGACGCCGCGUGAGGGAUGACGGCCU
rnacentral:rRNA from 1 species